rnacentral:rRNA from 1 species
GCCCAAGAUUGAAAGCUGGCGUCUUCGGCGUCCGCAUUGUAAUCUCAAGAAGUGUUUUCCGCUUCGGACCAUGCCUAAGUCCCUUGGAAAAGGGCAUCAUAGAGGGUGAUAAUCCCGUACAUGGCAUGGAGCGCCCGAGGCUUUGUGAUACGCUUUCUAAGAGUCGAGUUGUUUGGGAAUGCAGCUCAAAAUGGGUGGUAAAUGCCAUCUAAGGCUAAAUAUUGGGGAGAGACCGAUAGCGAACAAGUACAGUGAUGGAAAGAUGAAAAGAACUUUGAAAAGAGAGUUAAACAGUACGUGAAAUUGCCAAAAGGGAAGGGUAGGAGGUCAGAGAUGCGUCUUGGGAUUCAGCCUUGCUUUUGCUUGGUGUUUUUCCCAAGUUGCAGGCCAACGUCGGUUUUGGGCACUGGAGAAGGGUGGAAGGAACGUGGCACCUCUCGGGGUGUGUUAUAGCCUUCUACUGGAUACAGCGACCGAGACCGAGGACAGCAGCGUACUCGCAAGAGCGGGCCUUCGGGCACCUUUACGCUUAGGGCGUUGGCAUAAUGGCCCUCUACCACC